ensembl:lncRNA
GUACUUGAAGUUGUCUUACGGCUCUUCAGUGUCAUCCCCAGGCUGUGAUUGUGCGGUGGAAAAAAAUGGGAGGAGAGGGGCUGGGUAAUGCCAGUAAAGCGGCGUGACAGAAGAGGGUUAUUACCAUCAAGCUGUGCUAAGAUUGCCCAGCCUCAUGUGGCUUUAAGGGAUUGUAGGCAGUAUUAACAGCUGAAUAAUUAUUUUUGGGAUGUUUCUUCUUGUGCUUCAUUUUGGUGUCGCUUCGUUUCCCCCUCAACACUUGUACUUCUGUGGAGCUUUGGCAGCCUGCAGUCGUGUAAAAAAAACUUGAAUGUUCUACAUAUAUUUCAAAUAAAGUCCAGAGAUGGAAAGAUUAGGUGGAAUUGCACAUUUAGCACUGUGACAUGAAAAGUGUGAAAUAAUAUCAGCAGAAAUGUUAAUGGUGGAAAUGGAUAAGGUGGUGACACCUUGUAACAAAUGAAAAGGUGAUGCUUCCACUAUAUUUGUGAAAAGGGUUGCAAAUGUCCCCUUAAUGCUAUCAAUGAGAAAUCAUAUAUAGACAUACCUAUAUGAUGAAUAUAAAUAUAAGGCAUCUAUUUUUGGCAUUGUUUAUCAUGUGGUAGGAAGUGGUAUUGGUAGGAAAAACAUAUAGGCUGGAUCCAUUGUGUGCACAUUCUGUGCUGAACAAUGAAUCUGUAUUUGCGAUUUUUUUCAACAAAGCUUCUCUCGUGUUACCUUUAUUUUGUAUGCUGCACUGAUGAAACAUCAUUUUCACAAGUGGUUUGGAAAACAGAAGUAUGAAACAAUAUAGUAUACAGUAGAAUAGCUGUUGCAUUAUUUGUUACGACUUAUAUGUAAUGUUAUUAUGGAAGAUGUAAUGUCCUUCUGUAAAAGAACAUUUAACAACUUUCCUUUUCAUAGAGUCCAUCUAUCGUUUUUGGUGAGCUUUGACUUAAUUUCUCAUGUCAUGAGACUUGAUCCCAUGAUAUUGAAUGAUUCUGUAGUGAGUAGUUUUCUUACUGUUGCACACAUAAUUUUGGCAUUGAUUCCUUUAGCCCCUACAGAACAUUGUCAGUUGAUUUAUGUCCCGAGAGAAACUGAAGUAUUAAUUUGUUGUUCUACUUGUUCUUGUAGAUAAUGUACCUUAAUGUGGCAGACAACAACCGGUCUGAUACCCACUUGGCCUUCUUCAAUGCAGCUGUGACUGAACAUGAGUUUCCUCUGAGGUAUUAAAGGUAUUUAAAUGUAAUAACUUGAGUGGUUGCAGACCUAUCCAGAGAAUUUAGAUGCUAACCAUCAAACAGCUGCGUCAGUUAAAAAACACUGGAACUUUAUUAUUGAGACAGUUCUUUAAUAAAAAAUAGUGUAGUGUAUUGCUGUUAAUUAAAAGGAGCAUAGUCUGAACAUAUACUUGAACCAACGAGUUCAAACAAUUACAUCCAUAAAUUAUACUUAAUCAUUCCUUGUUCUGCACAAAGAUACGAAAAACAUUUCUCAAGCAGAUGUGACCCAUCCCUCAUUCAUAUGUGCAUUUAGAUGACUUCAGGUAUAAAAAGGUGGAAGAUAGUCCUUUAGGGGAACAGUGUGCCGGUCAAAUAUCUCAAAGAUUAAUGUCCAUAGAGGGCCAUUUGUAAAAAUUAUAUUCUGGAAAUACCAAUAUGAUUUAUCAGUUUUGUACAGGAAAAUGGUCUAAAAUUCCUCCUAGUCAAUGUGCAGAUUUGAUCAUACAUGCUAGAAACAUUUGGUUGAUGUCACAGCUUUAAAAUAAGAUUUAACUAGUUGCUUAAACAAAUCUACAUUAUUCCAACUGGACCUUGAAAGUUCAAGCCAAUAAUCCAAUAG